rnacentral:lncRNA from 1 species
UUUACAUUCUUCCUUUUAAAGCUGAUUUCUUGUUGAUUUUUCUGCCCUCCUUGCAAAAGGGCCUGAAAUCUCAGUUUUCAGAAAAGCUUUGGUUAGUGUGGAUGCUGGUAGGAGUAGAAGCAAAGAAGAACAGAUUAGAAACAAACAAAACCAUUUUGAAGCUGUAGAAUCUAAUGAUGACAACAAAACUCAGAUCACAAAUCCCAGCUGUAAAAAAGAAAUUUGAGUGCAGGCAUUUUGAAAGCAUACCCAAAUAGCAUUUCUGGGCUGAUCAAUAUGAAAGGCCCCAGUAACUCAUUAAUUCACUGGGUUUUAAUGCAGAAUUGUGCGUUCUGGCCACUCAUGUCAUUCUGUUGCUUGUGCCUUCCUGCAUCCUGCCUAUAUGCAAGUGUGAACCUUGCCAAGCUUUGCCCACUGGGCAGCAUGGAUCUCCUUCCCAGUUCUUAUUUUAAGAGAUGAAGAAUAUUUUGGGGUUAAAUACAUAGCACAUUAACAUCUCUCUUUCCUCUCUCUGUGUCUGUGCCUGCUGCGGUGAUCUCAUGCCCCUCCAUCCCUUGAUAUCAGAAGGACUGACAUUUAUAGGACAGGCAGUGCUCACUCAUCCUUCAGCAGCAUCUCUUUCUCUGCCAGGUGCCUAUGGGAUCUGUUCAGGCCACAUCUAUUAGGAACCUGGCCUGUGCAGCCCAGAAGACAGCUAGAGAUGGAUGGUGCUGGCGUGCGGCCACUUCGGAAGACAGAGCUGGAUCAGCCUGCCGGGGACAGAGGCAGACAAAUGGAACCUGCAGGACAAGCAUGCCAUUACCUUGUUUGCCAAACUCAUUACAGAGAAGUUGCAAAGUUCCAGUAUGCUGCCCCUGGCCUCCGAGACAAAGCUGUCAGCUGGUUCGUGAAUAAUUCCAGGCCACAUUCAGGCAGCCCGUUGUCGCUUGGCGCCCAGCAUGCUGCAGGUGAAGAUGGAAGCUCCAGCCCCAAGGAGGAAUAAUGCUGACCCCCAUCAGCACCAGCUCCUCACACUCAGCAGAGAUCAGGUGCUCUGGGGUAAGCUCCUGAGCAAUGUUUAAUUUCCCUCACUUCAUUCCACGUCUGUCUAACAGACAGUAUGUAACCAUAAUUUGGCCCAGCAGGUUACGUGUGUGCAUGGUGGCAACAAGAAAGCUCUUCUGAUGUUUUGCUUCAUGGGCCAAAUUUCACCCUGUUCUUUUGGGUCCUUCACAGACACUGUGUGGGAUUCAGAUUCACUGCUCCCUAACUGUGCUUCUCUGUGGUGCCUGAGCUUUGUAAUCGUGAUUUUAUUUUAUUUAAGAGUGACCCAGAAGCAUCAUACAUCCUCUUGUUUUCCACUCGGAGAACUGAGGCACAGAAAAGCUGUGAAAAAUUUCUACUGAGGUUUCUUUUUCUGAACUUGAAAAUUGAUGAGACCGAUUAUUUAUUUGUUUAAAGCACUCAUCUCUCUAGCUGAUUUUCACAGCCUUUGCUACGUUCACAUCUACAAAUCCGGCCCUGGAUAUCUCAAAUUGUGAAACAAUUUACCAUGGAAAAGUUAAGUCCUUGUUUGUCUCAAGGUUUUGUGACAAAUGACAUCAGGGUCUUAUGCACCUGGGUCAUCUUCCCAUUAGAGUCCUGAUCCAUGGCCAGAACACCCCCUUGCUCUGUGCUGAAGGAAGGACCCCGGGCCCUGCUGUGAACUGCUUCUGACAAUUAGCAGUGAUUUCGAAGGUGUUACUGCCCUCCUGCAUUUGGCUCAAUGUCUGUUCCUCAAAACCCAGUUAAGUGCGAGGGCUUUGGUGACAGUGCUGUAGGGGACUACAGUUCCAUUUUGAGACAUUCAAGCAGAACCUCACUGCCUAAGCCCAGGGAUGAUAAAUGGGAAUUUUGUCAAAAUCUUGUUACUGAAACUGCUGGCUUAAGCUUAUAAUGUUUCCUGUCUGAUUAUGUACAUGGUUGGAGAGUUAAUUUACUCUGUAAUUAACUGCUUGACUGUUUGCCCUUGCCAAUCUUCGUUCCCUAUGUUGUCUUUUAUGACAAGAGGCUUAGUUUUCCAAUGUGCAUUUCUAUUUCGUUUGUGUUCCUGCUCCAAGACACCACAUAGCUUGUUGAUGUUUCAGAAGGUGGCUGAUACAGCCUGCCUGGUUGCAGUGAUCUGUGCCAUACUGUGAGUGUUGUUGGGCCACUGAGGCAAAGACUUUGCUGAUCAUUGUUUUUUCUUCUCUCAAGCCAGGUUCUUGCUUGAAUUUUGUGCAUUCAGUGACCUGUGGAGUCUGGGUUGAACCAGAACAGGGAUUUCAAAUGUCCUGGGACUUCGUGAUAGCUGGGAAUAGCCUGUGGAAGAUGACAGCAGAACAGAACCCUGUAGCUCAGUACUCUUCUCCCUUCUUAAACUCCAACAUAUGUUUUUUAAAACCAAUCUAACAGCUUACCUCAGCAGCUUUGAAGCCUAUCCAGCCUCUUACCCAUGUUCCUCUAGCUUCUAUCCUCUCUGAUACUGAGCAUGUCACUACAUCCUUCCUCAGCUGCUUCUCCUGUGUCUGGCUUUCAGCUGCUCCAGGCUAUGAUGAGCCACCACGCAUGUCUGCCAGCAAUUUCAAAGGAUUUCUGGAAUGUCAGUAUCAUUUGGGAUGCUUUUAUCCAGAGAUGUAUUGUCCACAGAAGGGCUCCUGUGAGUUAGAAGGCACCAGGUGGCAUUUUCAAAAUGGUCUGUGUAGCAUAGGAUCUCAGGUCCCAGUGAACACCAAUAAAGAAGGGUGUCAAUCACUGACGUGCAAUUUGAAAUCAUUGCCUGUUAUCUCAAAGAAAUGGAGACAAAUGAUGAAACACCAGUAUGCAAGGAUUUGCAUUUCUGUCCUGUUGUCCAAACCAGAAAAUUAUCUGUUUAUGUAGACAGCAAAGUUGUUGUGUGUUGUAGUUGCUGAAUGAGUUUGCUGUUGGAUAGGAAGUGUGGUUUAGUGAGAAAUAGCUGGGGGAUGGAGGCUUGGGAUGGAGUGAAAUUUUGGUUAUCCAGUGGACUAAUCAGGAGGCUGAAAACAUAGGAUCAUGGAAUCAUUGAGGUUGGAAAAGAUCACUAAGAUCCCCAAAUCCAACUCAUCCCACUAUGCCCACUAAUGAUGUUCCUCAGUGCCACAUCUCCAUGUUUCUUGAAUAUCUACAGGGAUGGUGACUCUACCACCUCCCAGGGCAGCCUGUGAGAGUGCAUCACCACCUUUCUGAGAAGAAAUUUUCCCUAAUAUCUAAUCUGAACCCCCUCUGGUACAACUUUAAGCAUUUAUCUCUCGUCCUAUCACUGAAUGAUGGCUUUCAGGACAUACUCUUCCUCCGCAGAAGAAACAGACCUCUAAAGCUAUGGUUUCUCUCCAGGACUGCCAGGGACUAAGCUAUAGACCAUGGGUUAUGUGAACAUGAAGCUGCUCUAGAACUGCUUCAUGAUAAACUAAAAUAGCUAAGAGCCUCUCCCUGCCCCAGCAGCAGUCACACUCCACUGAUGAAGUGCAGCAUUGCAGGUUGGGAGCCAGUGAGAGGGCUGCUUCAACAUCUGAGCAGGUGGAGCAGAGGACGGCUAGAAACCUUCCAGCUAUGGGAAAUCUGAGUCAUGGAAGCCAUUGGAUAAAUUUAAAUACAUUAUUCUAGCUUGGAGGAGGAAACCAUCUGGGUAAGUAGAGGGACACGUGUCUAACUAAGGGAAGAGCCCUUUCAAAUGACAGAAGAACUGUCCUAAGCCUGAAAAUCUGGCAGACCCAAGAUAAAAAGACCAGUUUGUAUGUUACUGAUGUAAUGUAUGCAUUUCAAGAAUCCAGCUAUGGGAAAUAAUAUUCAAACAUUUGAAAAAGAAUGAUAAAAGAAUUUUGCUGGUAUUUGCCAGCUGUAUGAAGCAAGAAGGCCUGGAAAUUUCAUCAGAACAUCACAUUAUAAAAUCUCUUUUAAAAACUUUUGAAAAGAUCUUGUGUUUGAACUGCAAAUUCCAUGACAGCUCUGCUUUAAACAAAAAGCUGGGAAAGUAAUGGGAAAAUCUCUCUGUGGUUGGAUUGCAGUGGGCUGAGGCUGGUAAGGCAGUCUGGCUUUUAACUUGGUUUAGAGUCAACGCUCUGCUCUGCAACCCGGCUCAUCCCUGUGGGUUGAGGGUAAUGGCCAGGGGACUGAGUGGUCUCCUCGUGUCUGCACCCACUGCCACAAGGUGCAGAGCAACCAGCCUGGAGCUCUCUCUCUCUCUUGUCACUGGCUUCAAGUGACAUGCAAGUGGGAAUGCAAGAUUUGAAAAAAUCCAGUAAAAGUUACUGCUGCAAACUAUGCCAAGACCCAUGGGGCUUCCUCCCCACCUUGGCUUUAGACAGUAAUGGCAAUCUGAAGUUUUAUUAUAUUGUUAUUAUAUUGUCUCCAAGUCCUGUGGUAUGGGCUCAUCAUUGCCAUCUUACAGAUGGGGUUGCUGAAGCAUAAAGAAUUGAAAUGACUUCCCUGGAAUCAUUAGGUGGGCAAAUGGCAGGGCUAAAAAUAGAGUCCCAGUAUCCAGCCAUUCAAGCAACCCGUCGCCGUUCCUAACUUGGAGGAAGGGUGCCAGUGAAGUUAGUUAAAGCAGGUAACAGUUACUCAGCUGCAUGCAGUACUCAGUCCUCUUGGUAAGAUGUCUUCCCAAGUACUCCUCCUAAAUCGUUCUGAUAACCCAACACUUUUUUGGAGAAAUAUAUUGACAGGAAAAACAGCGAGCCACAUAUGGCUGUACUGUCCAUCAGUCAUAAGAACCCUAAUGCGUUCAGAAGUUCCAAAUGCCUUUUAAAGCUAAUGGUCUGUGCACUAAUAGCUCCUGGCCCUGGCAUCCAGGCUAGCAGCUGGUGCCACUAAUUGGUAGCCCCGAGGAUGAGCACGUGUGCGGUAGGCAGGCAACUGGAUUUCAGGAGCAGCAAAAGGAUUGGGAUUCCUGCCUUGCUAAUCCUGCCGUUUGGCGUGCUCUUUAAUCAAGAUGAAAAGUCAAGAGACCGCGAGGGGCUAACAAACAACAGCUUUGGCCGAUUACAGGAGCCCAGCUCACGCAGACCUGACAGGCAUCGCCUGGAACGGGCAGGCCAGUAACAGCUUGUAAACCCGCCCCAGCUGCAGCUGCUCUUCUUCCCCAACGGUGUCUGCUGGACAAUGCUGGAAAUAGCAUCAGAAGAUAAUAUGUCUGUCUGGCCUUUUUGGGGAUGCAGGAUCUGUUAUUUGAGGGGUGGAUGUCAAGUCGUAUAAAAGCAUCCAAACAUCUCCAGCUAAGCCCAACAGAAGUAAACAGGCUGCCUGACAUGGGUCUAAGAAAUCGUUAGCAUCACUAUUCCUCUCUCUGGUCUCUGCCUUGUGCAGUGCUGGGGGGGCAACUUUGCAAGGCAGAAAGAGCACAAGCACUAAAAUAGGUGAAGGAUGUUGUCAGAGGGCUGGAGCCAUUCCAGGAGGUGCCAUGCACUGCUGAUGCCAGCAGAGAGUGACCAGCCUGUAUCCAACAGGCAGUGUGGGAAGAUGGUGUGAUGUCUGAGCGGUGCAAAGCAGUGGGUGCUACCUGUUCCCUUGGUGGCAGGAAGUCGCAAGGCAUCCUCUGAUGUUCCUUUUGAAUCCUGAUAAUUAAGGUUUUGAUGCUCCCUGUGAAGCCUAACAGGUAAUCUGGAGUGAACCUAUCUGAGCACCGUCUUUGUCCCUUGAGAGUCAGUGGACCCAUAUCUGGGAGCUGCAGAGUCCCUGCAGUGGCUGAGUGUCUUCUUCUGAUGCUCUGCAGGUGGUGUAGGUCACUCCGGUCUCCUGGAUAAAUCAGGGUAACUCCAAACUGAAAAUCGUUUAGGGUGAGUCUUCCUGCUGUGAUGACUAAGGAUUUGUAGACCCCCGUACCAGUCAGAUCUCAAAGCUCUUUCUGUCUUUCCAGUUAAUCUGUCUUGAUGGAUCCAGAUCAUACGAAGCGUCACAGUGAGAUACUGAAAGAGAUCACCAGCUCUAAGCAUUCACAUGAUUAACCUUCCCACCACUCCCCAGAAAUAUCCUUUCCCAUUACACUUGUGUCUGAGACCAAACCUUGCUCCAGAUGGCAGUGGGCUGAGAUGAAAUUUUACUGCAGUCAGAGCUCACGGAUACACAAAAGAGGAGAAAUGUGCAAAAUCGCAAUGACAGGGUUGUUUGGGUAUCUUGUGAUGUUCCAGCUUUAGAGAAAUCCAUGCUUAAUGUGCCUGCAUGGCAAGGUAAACUAAAGACCAUAUAAUUCUAUUAAAUCCUAACAUAGCAGAAGGAGAAAACCCAUGUCUCCUGGCCUCCUUGUGUCUGUGAGCAUUAGGGCAUGCUUUUACACGUGUUGCUUAAUCACUGGAUGCUGAAGAGUUUAGGAUAAAGUCUUCUUUUGAUUUGGCUACUACAGAACUUGGGGCACUGCCUCUGCAUUACUUGUACUUUCAUUGGGCCGUGCCAUGAUCCAGUGCAGUGUGGUUAUUCAGGGGUACAUGGAGGAGGAAGAUCUCUCUGUUCUUUCUUCUGCUGCUGUGCUGCUGUAGAGGAAUCUCACUGUUUGUUUUCCUAGUCAUGAGACUGUGCGUGAGAUGGAGGAUGAAAGCCCCUUCCAGAAGGCAAAUUGGAGCUAUGUAUAGACUUUGUUUCACGCAGUAACAGGAUGAGAAUCUGGCAUUUGGAGUGCUGGGGUGAGCUGCUCAUCUUGGGCAUGGCAGGCACCAGUGGGUGGUGUCUUGUGAGCUCAAAGGAGAGUAAGGAAGCACUUCCCACUCGUGAGAUGUGCUGCAGUGCUUUGUGCGUGUGGUGGUAAGGGUGUCUCAUGGGGGCUGAAGCCCUAACUGGGACAACUGGGAGCUGGUAGAGCUCCCAAACCCACCUCUCCCUCUCCCCGGGUCCACCUUUUUUCUUUCUUUUCUCCAACCUGUUCUUAAUAUCCUAUUUCCAAUCCUGGAGUAUGUUGGAGUGUUUGAACUUAGAAAAUAUACCCUGUUCUAUUCAGUGUGGGACUUCUGAAUAGGUUAGCUGCAUUUUGAUACAGCAUCAUCUGCAGCAGUGCAUUGAGGUUUAGAGCCUUGUAUAUUAAACAUGCCAGCAGAUACUUCUCACAAUAGCUGCCUCCUCUUUCUCCAUGUAUGAAUAAUGCAGGGAGUUCCAGAUCAUCUGUCCCUGUCAUUGCUGCUGCAUAUUGAUAUAGUCACAAAGACUAACUGUUAGAGAGCAAAACGUGUGAGGAUGUUCCCUGACCUUUCCCUUCUCCCACCAGUAAAUCCUGUUUUUUUUCUAUGGAGGCAACAAGCACUAUCUGCUGGCAGCAGUGUUUUGGUGAUCUGGGUACAACCAAACACAGGGCUGAGUAGUUCUCAGGAAGGUCACGUUAGUGUGGAUCUCAGUGAUCCUCUGACUUAUUUCUGUGAUCCUCUUUUGUGCCAGAUAGCAAAAUCGAAUUCCCCUUCCUGUCUCUGAUCUCUGUCUCAUGUCACUGCAGGGUACAGGUAUCCUCCACCAGGCACAGCCCCACCUGCAGUGCUGCAGGAGGGCACAGAGGGGGCUUCAAGGGAUCUGGGGGGUUUUAGUCCACCCCGAAUAGCUGAACCUCAGGGGGCUCCCAUAGGCUGACCUUGGUUUUCAAAGUCUGAGUCUAUGGAGGGACAAAGAGGCAUAUGCCUCCUAUAACAGCUUUCCUUGUUGAAGAGGUAGGAGGGAGCUGUGAAGCAACCCUUUCUUACUUGCUGAAGAUUCAGGCUUAUCUGGGAGCCUGCAGGUGUCAGAAGUGGAACGGAUGGCACUGCACCCCUUUGCACUGCUGUCCGUGCCAACAGGGCUGGCCCUCCUGGAUGCUCACAUAUUUGUUAGGAAAAGUGGAUCCAGAGGUCCCUGCUACAGCUGGCAGGCACAGCCACCACCUGUCUGCAUAGGCAAAUGCUGGCAGUUGCUGUUGCAAUGCUCCGCUUCCCCUCUCCCUGGAAGCCACAGUGCAGCGCUGCCUCCUAUUCCAAACACCAUUUUAUUACAGCUCCUCCUAAAGCCUGUUGUUUUCUCAGUGUGGAUGGCAGCGACGUGAGUUUGGCUCAGUGUGGCUCUUCCCUCUCUUGUGCAUUGCUGUGGGUGAGAGUGAGGAGAUCUGUGUCCUCAGGGGGCAGCUUGGCAGAAAAGGGACCUUGCUGGGGAACGCACACUGGCACCCACAGGCGAGGGGUGCUGGGAGCUAGAGCCUAGCUGGCAGCUGGGUGGAAGUGAUGGUGGCUUCUUGUAGAGAGGCACUCUAGGACCUUAUGGAAUGAUGAGGACAAGGACUGAGUCUCCCGGAGCUCUUCCAGGCACUGGUACACUGUAGCCCCCAGACAGAUGUAAUUGAUGAGACAUCCCGCUGUAUGUAGUAAUGGGUGUUGUGUGACUCACCCUAAUGAACAAAAACAAUGCCACGUGCCUCCUAAUGGGACUUCUGGUCUUCAUGUCCCAGUGUUUGCUAUGAAUUAUUUAAGGCAUCAGGAGGGAUCUGUGAGUAAUGACAUCUCUGCUGAUUAUGUCUCACCUCAGAUGACUCCAGGAGUCUGCUUAGCAGUUCAGGUCUGUUUUGGUCCUUCACCGGUGGAUCUGCCAGCUUGCAAAUUUCUCCAAACUCUUAUUCUCUGCUUUCCUUUAGCUCUUGAUUAGGUCUGUCAGAAAAGGAAGACAAGCAAGUUAGCUUUUAAAUCUAAGGACAGUAGCGAUAUUCACGGCAGGAUCUUAUUCAGGCAAGUGUGUGAAGAGUGUGCAAGGUGUGCACAAGAGCCUUCUGCAAUUCAUGCUCCUGGACCUCACAGGCCCUCUCCCUUUUGUUGUAGGCAGAAAGCCCUGACUCAUGGCAAUCCAAGCUUCAGACAAAGUUGGUUGGAGCACCAUGAUCAUAAACUCCAUCAUAGAUUGGCUAUCAGCAGGAUGGAGGUAGGUGAAACGGAUGGGAAGUGCCAGCUGCUGUACAGUGCAUGACCUGCUGCAGACCCAGCAGCUCGAUGAGUCCAAGGCUGGUGCUUCUGUUGCAAUAAGAGAGUUCAUUGAGGAAGGAAGAAAGAUGAAGGGAGGAGGCACUGGACUUUGGCUUUGGUGUUCAGAGUAGAACAAAUGGCUCAAUGGGUGGGGAUUUUGGUAACCACUUCGAUUUUGUGGUAGUUUGCUUUUUUAUUUUAUUACUGUUAUUAAACUUGUUGUGUUCACUUUUUCACUCAGUGCCUUGAGGUUGCACUGUGCUCUGGGUUUUGUGUGAAGCCAUUCUUCUAGCUGCAGCCUUGGAACAGAGAGCCUGAAGGGGACUUUGGGAAGAUUAAAGAUUGCUUUAAGAGAAUGAAUGAAAGUAGACAGCCGGUAUUUCCCAGAGCUAAGAGCUGGUGCGGAGCCUUAGCGCUUUGUCGCAGCUCUGAAUCUGCCAUUGCCAAUGACCAAAGGGGAUAAAACUGAACAUCUGCCAUCUGUGACUUUUGACCAGAGAGGGACGAUCCUCCUUAUUCUGGGGAAUGAAGCCCUGAUUUAAAGCACUUCAUGCCCUGCUUUCGCUGAUAUGAGAAGGGCACAUAUGUUAGGGUCAGGCUUCAGUUUUAAGGAGCCUGCUUUUGAUUACAAGCCUGCAAUAGAGCUGUGGAAAGGAAAACAGUUUCCCUUGAAGGAAAUGAAUUAGGAGGCUUUUGUGGAAGCAAAACCAAAGGAAUGAAUGUUGCAGUGCUGCAGUGAGGGGCAAGCUGCACUUCCACUGUACACAAGUGCCUCCAGUUCUUGGCCUUUUCUUUGUUUUGGUGCACAUUGCCUAGAUCCUAAAAUAUCCAACCUGUGCAACGUCAAGACAAAGCAGUUAAGGAGGCAGCAUCUUGAAGAAGCUCUUCUCAGGAGGCAGUGGCUGUUGGAAAUGGCUGAGGUAACCAGGUGCGGUGGGAUAUUUUUAUCCUUUCCCAAGUAGGAGGAUUUAAGAGGACUUCAAAAACAGAGCCAACGUUAUUUUUAAGCACAACAGUUUAAAGAGUUCGGGAUUUUUCUAUUGCCGUAAUAGACCAAGUGUUUCAAAGAUCUGUCCUCUUUAUCUCACUCUUAAGGUCCCCAAGGGGACAUCAAAGCAGAAGCCAGUGAGUUUGGCCUGUCACAGUGGGGGGUAAGGGCACGUCUUGGAUGGCAGUGUGGCAUUGGGCUGUGGUUAGCUAUUGCUAUUGCUAGAAGUCAGGCCUGGAAGUGGUAUAAGGUUGUAGCAGGAGAGGAAUGAGGAAGGUGGUAGAAGUUGCUCGCGCAGCUCUAUUUCCCCAGCAGCACUGAACUUGUGUUGGCAAGCUGUGAAGGAGUGGCUCCAUGGAACCAUUGAGCCUUGGCAGUCUUAUUCAUACAUCCUUCUGUUCUCACCUUCUCAUUCCUUCUUACUUUAAAAUUAAAAAAAAAAAACAACCCACCACCACCAACAAAAAAACCCUUAAGGAAAUAAUGUGUUUGCUUGUAUAGUUUAGAAGAAUAAAAUAACCACAUUAGCAAGUCUUGUAUUUAUUCCUGGCAUCGUUUUCCCCAUUAGGAAGAAGUAUGUCAUAACUUCUGUAACAGACUGCAAAUGCUUUGGCCAAUGGAUUGAUGUGCCCUGUGAUUUAACAGGUAUUUGUUAGAGAUGACUCGACUGUGCUCCCCUGAAAACAAUCAAAACAGAUGGGAUAUCACAUGAAGAAAAUCCCCCAAAAAGCUUAAAGACAGUAAGAACAGAGAUCUGCUAAAACAUGAUUGCUAAUUCUUCCCAGGAUGCAAAGUUUAAAAACAAUUAGAUGGAGGCACAAACUGUGCAAGCAAAUCCAUUUCCACGUGCAAAAUUUUCUGUUAGCAAUUGCAAAUUGGACAGCGAGUUGAAAUUCUCCCCAGUGGAGAAGAGGAAAGCAGAAAGGCUUCUGCCCCUCUCAAAUCUUGUUUGUCUCUGUGGUACUUACAGAGCCCUCAUUAAUGAAGUAUUUAAGCUUGUUACAACCUUAGUGCAGCCCCUGAGAAUAACAUUCAUU